GGGGAACAUCCAAGAGCUGAGAUGCUACCUGAUACAAUCUUCCUACAGAAAAAUACCUCUGUUUUUCCUGCUUGCAGUUCUUAAGCAAGUCCUGCAAGUCUCAAUUUAUCAGAGACAUAA